GAAUGGUGAAACCUGAUGGCUCAACCAUCAGACUAUUAUUCGAACUCAUCUGCUCGAGAGUGAGAGAGGUACCUGGAAUUUCUAGUGUAGGAGUGAAAUCCGUAGAUAUUAGAAGGAACACCAAUGGCGUAAGCAGGGUACUGGCUCAUUUCUGACGCUAAGGCACGAAAGCGUGGGGAGCGAACCGGAUUAGAUACCCGGGUAGUCCACGCCGUAAACGAUGGAUACUAGCUGUUGGAGGUAUCGACCCCUCCAGUAGCGAAGCUAACGCGUUAAGUAUCCCGCCUGUGGAGUACGGUCGCAAGACUAAAACAUAAAGGAAUUGACGGGGACCCGCACAAGCGGUGGAUCGUGUUCUUUAAUUCGAUGCUAAACGAAGAACCUUACCAGGGUUUGACAUCCUAGGAAUUACUCCGAAAGGAGUGAGUGCCGCAAGGAACCUAGUGACAGGUGAUGCAUGGCCGUCGUCAGCUCGUGUCGUGAGAUGUUUGGUUAAGUCCAUCAACGAGCGCAACCCUUGCAAGUAGUUGGAUUUUUCUACUUGGACUGCCCCCGGCAACGGGGAGGAAGGAGGGGAUGAUGUCAGGUCA
rnacentral:rRNA from 1 species